rnacentral:snRNA from 1 species
GGAUGUGAGGGUUAUCUGGCUGUGACAUCUGUCACCCCAUGAUAACCAGGGUUGACUCAGCUGGUCUGGCUGGAGAGGCGGGUGUCCACUUCCUCCCUCACUGUUCCAUAUGCAUCCUCCCUCACUGCUCCAUAUGCAUCCCUCCAGAAGCUAUGCGUUUGGUCGAGGGGGGUGACAUUCCCCAAUAGAUGAGCAGCUGUGUUCCCCUGCUAGAACCUCCAAAGAAGGUCUCAAAAUUCCCCCUCAUCUUUGAAGCACCAACUCAAAUACUUUUUCUUCUGUGAAGCCUUUCUAAAUGCCUCAAUACAGAUUUAGUGACUUUUU